AUGAAAUCUUUAUUCCUGGCAAAGAGAGAGACAAAGGACACUCGUGCCUGUGCCCUUUCUCAGUACAGAGCCAUCUCUGUUUCUGCCUUUUCCAACUCAAAACCCCUCAAACUUCAAGACUUUUCCCUCCCUACUGGGCAUAUUGUCUCAAGCAUCAGAGCAGUAAAAUGUUCUCCAAAGGACUCCGCGCUAAGGAACCUUGUGGGAAAUCUGAAGAGAAAGAAGCCAGAGAAUAAAAACCACCUUUUCUGUUUAGCUCUUGCGUCUCUUCCAGCGAUACCAAUAUCCAUUCACCAUAAAGAACUUUCAAGCACUCAAGAGCCAUCAGAAGACGUUGCUUUGGAGGCCGGGCUGCCGAGGAAGCUGAUGUGCACGAAUCCUGGGGCAUCCCAGCGGUCCCACAACUUUACCUGGGUAAUCUCAGUGUCGACUCUACCUUCACAGCUGCCAUUGCUUCCCUGAACGGUACCUCACACUUCAACUAAAUGCGCAAGACUCUAGGAUUGUCAAUGGGGAGGGGGAUUCCCCCUCUUUCACAGUUGUGACUUGAACUCUUAUCUCUGCCCAGGCAUCUCCUCUGCUCCCUUCAAACUAUUUUAAGAUUUCAGAGGGACAUAGAAGUAGGAAAAGGAUUGGCUAAUAGAUAUACUGGAUUCUGUCUCUACAGCCAUGGACAAGCUAACCAACCACUCAGUCUCAGUCUUCCCACCUGUAAGCUGGGUGCAAAAAUAUCUUUCUCACAAGAACUCUGAAGUUAGCAUGUCAUGUAAUAGAUACUCCUGGCAAUCAGGGUCCAGUUUGGACAUUAAUAACAUGUACACUUAAGUUGUUUGUGAAGAUUUUCAAAUGUGAACAAUUUAAAAAUUUGUGGGCAGAGCUAAGCCUCAGAAGCCUAGACAGUGUUAAGCCCCAUACUUUCAUCUAAAUGCAGUAAGCUAAAAUUCUCAGAUGGACUUUAAAUUAAAUAGAUAUCAUAUAUCAUAAUUACCUCCUAUCGAGUACAUAGACACAUUAAAGUUAUAGAAAACACAUGUUAAGUUUACAUUUAAAUUUCCC
rnacentral:lncRNA from 1 species